rnacentral:rRNA from 1 species
CAAUAGCGUAUGUUAAAGUUGUUGCGGCUAAAAAGCUCGUAGUUGGAUUUCUGUUGAAGACGUCCGGUCCGCUCUAUGAGCGUGCAUCUGGUAUGGCUUUGGCAUCCGCACUAUACACGUGUCUGCGCUUGAUUGCGUGGCGCGGGGGUAGUGCCUUUUACUUUGAGGAAAUUAGAGUGUUCACGGCAGGCUUUCGCCUUGAAUAUAUUAGCAUGGAAUAAUAACAUAGGAUCUUGGUUCUAUUUUGUUGGUUUCUAGGGCUGAGAUAAUGAUUAAUAGGGACAAUUGGGGGCGAUUCGUAUUGCGGUGUCAGAGGUGGAAUUCUUGGAUUACUGCACGACGAACUACUGCGAAAGCAUUUGCCAAGGAUGUUUUCAUUGAUCAAGAACGAAAGUAAGGGGAUCGAAGAUGAUCAGAUACCGU